rnacentral:tRNA from 1 species
GCCACAUUUACGGUCCUGGAGACCGGUUUGUAAUUUGGCUACAAGGUUGUACGCUUGCAUGUAAAGGCUGUUGGAAUACAGCUAUGUGGCCCCA